ACGCUGGCGGCAGGCUUAACACAUGCAAGUCGAACGGUAACAUGGAUUAGCUUGCUAAUCUGCUGACGAGUGGCGGACGGGUGAGUAAUGCUUGGGAAUCUGGCUUAUGGAGGGGGAUAACUACGGGAAACUGUAGCUAAUACCGCGUAAAAUCUUCGGAUUAAAGGGUGGGACUUUCGAGCCACCUGCCAUAAGAUGAGCCCAAGUGGGAUUAGGUAGUUGGUUAGGUAAAGGCUGACCAAGCCGACGAUCUCUAGCUGGUCUGAGAGGAUGACCAGCCACACUGGAACUGAGACACGGUCCAGACUCCUACGGGAGGCAGCAGUGGGGAAUAUUGCACAAUGGGGGGAACCCUGAUGCAGCCAUGCCGCGUGAAUGAAGAAGGCCUUCGGGUUGUAAAGUUCUUUCGGUGACGAGGAAGGUUGAUAGGUUAAUAGCCUAUCAAAUUGACGUUAAUCACAGAAGAAGCACCGGCUAACUCCGUGCCAGCAGCCGCGGUAAUACGGGGGGUGCGAGCGUUAAUCGGAAUAACUGGGCGUAAAGGGCACGCAGGCGGUGACUUAAGUGAGAUGUGAAAGCCCCGAGCUUAACUUGGGAAUUGCAUUUCAUACUGGGUCGCUAGAGUACUUUAGGGAGGGGUAGAAUUCCACGUGUAGCGGUGAAAUGCGUAGAGAUGUGGAGGAAUACCGAAGGCGAAGGCAGCCCCUUGGGAAUGUACUGACGCUCAUGUGCGAAAGCGUGGGGAGCAAACAGGAUUAGAUACCCUGGUAGUCCACGCUGUAAACGAUGUCGAUUUGGGGAUUGGGCUUUGAGCUUGGUGCCCGUAGCUAACGUGAUAAAUCGACCGCCUGGGGAGUACGGCCGCAAGGUUAAAACUCAAAUGAAUUGACGGGGGCCCGCACAAGCGG
rnacentral:rRNA from 1 species